rnacentral:rRNA from 1 species
ACUCCUACGGGAGGCAGCAGUGGGGAAUAUUGCGCAAUGGGGGAAACCCUGACGCAGCAACGCCGCGUGAAUGAUGAAGGCCUUCGGGUUGUAAAGUUCUGUCUUCUGGGACGAUAAUGACGGUACCAGAGGAGGAAGCCACGGCUAACUACGUGCCAGCAGCCGCGGUAAUACGUAGGUGGCAAGCGUUGUCCGGAUUUACUGGGCGUAAAGGAUGCGUAGGCGGACAUUUAAGUCAGAUGUGAAAUACCCGAGCUUAACUUGGGUGCUGCAUUUGAAACUGGGUGUCUAGAGUGCAGGAGAGGUAAGUGGAAUUCCUAGUGUAGCGGUGAAAUGCGUAUAGAUUAGGAAGAACACCAGUGGCGAAGGCGACUUACUGGACUGUAACUGACGCUGAGGCAUGAAAGCGUGGGGAGCAAACAGGAUUAGAUACCCUGGUAGUCCACGCC